GUGAGAUCUUGGUGCUUCGUCUUCGACACUCGGCAGCGAUGAACCAGCACGGCAGGACACAGCCGACAGGAGACGUAGAGCGCGGCGGACUGGCGGAGGCCGGAGAGGCAGAGAGCAGCUUCGAUUUGGGAAUUGGGACUUGGGACUUGGGAGUGUUAGUGCUGUGAAAGCCCUAGGUGACGGCAGUCACGGCACUAUGCAAUAUUGCAAAUUUGCAAUGGUUGUUUUCUCACUUUUCAAUUUUCAUCAGCUGAAGAUGAAAUCCGACUUUUUCCGAAUGAAGUGAUUUUGUAAUUUUUAAUUUACAAAUUGGGGCUCCUAAAUUAUAAUACAUUCAUUAUGCUCCUCAAUGAUUUAAAAAUUAUUACUAAUUUGAUCCCCAAAUUUAUUCAUAAUUGAACACAUUACUUAUGUUCAAAUCAUUUUGUGGUUUAAUUGGCAUUUAUUUGAUCACUUAUACCUAAAAUCCUUGGUAUAUGAUUUAAAAAACACAUAAAAAGUGAUUAAUUUAAAUUAAUUUAGUUAGUAGUUACAAUGAAUUUAUAAUUUACAAUGAUUAAUAAUAAGUAAUAUUAGUUACAAACUUACAAAUUACAAUGAAUCAAUGACCAGUGAUAAAUUACAUUAGUUACAAACUUAUAACUUAUUUUAAAUCAAAAUAAAACUUAUUUACUUGAUUUGCAACUCACAUGUAUUCACUUACACUGUUUAGUUAUUUUGUCUAUACUUAAAGCCUUAAGAUUAGUAAAUAAAUAAUAUAAACUUUUAACUUAUUUGAUCACUUAUACCUACAAUCCUUAGUUUAUGAUUUAAGGAACACAUAAAAAGUGAUUAAUUUAAACUAGAAUAAACCUUAGACUGUACAAUGGUUAGUAAUAAACUCAAUGAGACAAGAGCCCUAUGGUAUCAACAGCUCUAUCUACAGAUGUAAACUCGUCAAACGCAGAUAACAAGAUUAUAUCUUGUGUAGUGCAAGUUUUUUUUGGGUACAUCACGGAGAAGGGCGACAUCCACAAUUUGGCAAAUUGGAUGCCUGCUGGUAAACGUUGAAAACCUAACAAGUAAAGUCGUUAUUACUUUAUGCACGAAUGGAUUAAAGAUUGUGCCCAGAAGAAUAGGGCCAGGUGCCAUUUUUCUUCUGAAGUUCAAGUUGGUCAAGUGAAGCUAAUGGAAAUUUGAAGACAUGAAUCAUGACUAAUUUGAAAAUUUUUCAAAAAAUAAACAUGUGCAUUAAAAAAAAAAGAACAGAACAUCUACAAGCAUAAAAUUUGAAGCACGUCGAUAGCUUAAUCCAAAAUGACUGGCAAAACACAUGGACCCAUGCGUAUAAGUUCACCCUCAUGCCAUGUAACUAAGAUAAUUUUGAUUGUCUUAUUAAGUAAAGUGGCCCCAACUUGAAGUUCCCGAAUCAUCAAAGUGCCUACGUCAAGAGAAAUUAAUGAUAGAUACCAGGAUGUGAGCAAUGUCAUAUUAAUUAAACAUAUAAACUAAAGCAAUACUUCCAAACAAAACUCAAGGCUUCAAUGUGACUUGAAGUUUGAAAUGCAUGUCCGCUUGGUCUAGAAGGCACUACAUAGAUUUAGUGUAGUAUCCUAUGAAAAGGAGACAAAGCAAACCCUAAACAGAGAAAAGGCCAGAAAUGGAAUAUCCAUUUGGACAGUCAAGAAUCUUCCUAGCUUAGGGCCGUGGCAGCACUUAGGAGACAGUAACAACUAAGGUGAACUCUGAUUUUUGCCCACAAAGAAGUAAGAAGCUCAUGUGGCAAUGGAGGAUCCUUUCCAAAGGAUCUCUCUUGAUGGAGUAGUUCAGCACAUGCCCAAUUUAAAGGCUUGCAAUUUAGAAACCACCACACUCAAACAGUAAGCAUCAAAGCCCAAGUAUCCUAUGAAGGGGAGGGACUCCUUGAACCAGCUGCCCUGCAUGAACAUCAUGUCAACCAGUGAUGUUUCUAAGCCAGUGAACAUGAACAAAAACCAAUCUCAAUUUGGCAGGUUUUGGAGCCCUUCAGAGUGCCCUCGACUAGACUAGUCAAGCUGUUUCAACUCGAAUGCACAACUGUCAACUUUCCUUUGCAACUUGCCUCCAGUAGAAGAUAAAGUUAUAGAUCUUGAUCAGGUCAAAGCUUGCUUGAUCAGUGGUUUACUUAGUUUCCUCUUAUACACAUCCAUAAAUCCCAUUUCUUAAUCUUGAUCCAUAUCAUUUGAGUAGGAUAUGAGAAUCAUAUUUUUCUGUCCAAGCUUUUUUUGCAGUCUUCUUUUACACCUUUACAUUUUGUAUCUUCUCCAAUCCCCUUCUUCCAGUUAAUUUUGUUUUGCCAGUUUCUUUACUUUUUCUUGAAUAGCUACCCUAACCUAAAACUUUAUUGCAUUUUUCUAGUUUUAUACUUGCAGAUGUCAGCCAUAACUAUCUAUUUUCACUUCAUCAAUAUGCCGCUUUGGAUACACCAGCUUUCCAAUAGAAGCCAAGGAAACUAAGGGUUGCCCAGAAUUUUCAAACAACUUUAGAAGAAGCAAAUAUUUAUUGAACUCUCACUGAUCCAAUCAACAAAAGAUUCUUCAGUCCUUUUGAAAAAAUAACAAUUGAAAAAAAAAUUCCUUUGACAAGCAAACUAUUUUUUUUUUUUUGAAUAACAAACAGCCACGCAAUUAUCCCUUAGAAAGGGAUCUUUAGGCCCAAGGAAAACAGCAUCCUAAUGACUCUUUGGAUGUAUAAUCCAUUUCCAAAAAUUUUCACUUAUUCUCCAUUUUCCUAAAUGUAUUAAAACUUCAAACUUAUGUUUUUCUCUCCACAAAUCUGCAUCUAGGGUUUUGCAAACAUAAAACAAGUAUAUCUUUCCACAAAAUGCCCAUACAAAUUGUUCUUCUACUCAGAUCAACAAGUCUGACAAGAAAUAUUACAGCCAGUAAUACAGGUUAUUGAAUAAGAAAAUUGGAUGCGACUGCAGAAGUAUGAUCUUAAGCUACAAAAAAGAUCAACUUCAUCAAGGCCAAAAUGAUUGAAAACUAACUGAAACCUAUCCUAGAUAGCUAAGGGCUUAGUUAACAGCUAACGUGUCUAUACAAGGAAAACUAAAGCUUCAGAUUUGCUAUUCCCCUAAUUCCAGAUUAUUUCCCUUUCUCUUCAUUCAUGUCCCCAUGCAAUUAAAAGAAGAAUAAACAAGAAAGGAAAAUACAUACGCUGAUGAAAACAAAAACUACAAAUUACAAACUCCUUCCUCAAUUUAUAUCUGAGUCCAAGAAAACAUAUGGCCGCUUCACCAAAAAUGUAAAGUGCAUAAAUUUUACACUUCAUUCAAUCUUAUCUCCCUCAUUUCCAAGCUUAUUAUCCAAACCCCCAAACCGCGCCCCCCCCCUUCCCAACGCAUCCAAAAUCAAAUCUACAUGGCACCAACAUCCCACAAGAGCACAAAUCAAAAUUCAAUCUUGAAUAGAUUCCAGACACGAAUGCUAAAACCCUAAUGAAAAACAGCCCAUAUAUCCCAAUAAACAAUCCAAGAGCAUCAAGCUGAAUGAAAAAAAAACAAGCAAAUGAGCAAACGAAACUCAACUAGAAAUCAUUAAACCAUCAUAACAUUUCCAGAACCAGAUUGAAACCACAAAAAUCAAAAACACACAAAAAAACAAGAAAGGAAAAACACGUACGCCACAAACACUUGAAUGCCAUUGAAAGAAUGGUUUAAUACCUCUAAAAAAUUUAAUCAAAUAAAAUCAAAGACAAUGGGACUUUGAAUUAGUGAAUUGGUGGUAGUUGGGCGAAUUAGAAAAAUAGAUAAAAAUGAGGGGGGGAAAUUUGGUAAAAACUGGGGAAAUGGUGGUUUUGGUGGCGGUGGUGGUGGUGGUGGCGGUGAAGGAGGAGCCAAGGGGGAGGAAGAUUUAGCAUGUCAGGAAAAGCGUUACCAUCAGUGUAUACUUGGAAACAAGUAUGUCAUUUUCAGGGUGCGCCGCGUCAGCAUUUGGAACAUAAUCUUUAACCCAACCCGGGAACUUGGCUCAGUUUUUUUUUUUUUUUUUUUUCCUGCUCGGGUUACAACUACUGCAAUUCUUCUUCUUAUUAUUUAUUUAUAUUUUUACGAGUGAUAGAUGAGAUUUAAGAAGCAGGAAUAAAAAGAAAAUUAAAACUCAUGACAGUUAAUUCAUGAGACUUCAACAAUCAAGACUUUCUUGAUUAUUAAUUACACAUAAUUUGAUAAGUCAUUGAUUUUUUUUCCAUAUUUUUAACGAACAUGUUAAUUAAUCAAUUCCUAUAAAUUAGAUCAGAUUUGGCAGUUUUUCUUAUGCAGCAACGCCCGACAUGGCACAAGCGCGAAGGGGUUCAAGACUCAGUUUUCUUUUUAUGAGGGCUAAAAUUACUUAUUUUAGCUUGUUUAAAGUACUAAUACUAUAUUUUCCUACAUUUCCAUCCUAAAUUACUGCUUAAUCCGAGUAAUUAUUAUCAUUUUAAAUAGAAACUGAAUUCUAUCUUUUGCAAGUUAUUGUUACCUUUUUUGCCCAAGUUUUGAGUCGUGUAGUUUUUUAACUCUCAAUUGCAUUUAAUAGUAUCGACCAACUUCGGGCCAUGUCAGCUAUGCAAUUUAUUUUCUUUUCGUAUUUAGGCGAAUUAUAUAGAUUUCACUUCGCAAUUUUUUGUUAGCGAGCAUUGAAAGGCUAUGAAGUGCGUUUUCCAUUUGGAAACACUAAAGACUAGUGAUAGCAUGACAAUGAAAAGAAAAUUGGAAAAAAAAAAGAUUAAGAUAAGAAAAUCAGUGGCUCAAAUUGGGGCAUAUUAGUGUUGAAUUUCAGUUUGAAUCUUUUUAUUGUUGAUAGUAUUUUGAUGAGCAUUAAUUUUUUCUACCAGUGGAAAUGUGGGAUUUAAGAAGCGGAAAAAGGGUAAUUAUUAGGGAAUUAGAAUUUAAAAUCUAUAUGUUUUAAGGCAUCAGUUUUAACGAUUAAAUCAAAAUUUUUUUGAUAGUUAAAUGAAAGCUCUUAACUUUAUUUCAACCACCUUUUUUUUUAAUCUUUGACAUUUAGGAGAUGUAAAAUUCUAAGAAAAACAGGGAUAAGCUCAAGCAUUUAAAGAUACGAAGCGUUGAUCAUCAAGCAGACGAGCUUCAAUACCUUCAAAUUCAAUGUUUGUAGUAAAAGACAAUGAAAAUUCUUUUUUUUUCUUUUCCACUUUUAAGGGGGAGGGGGGGGGGGAAGUCAAUCGGUCAAUACUCCAUACAUAGUCGCUUCCAAUUCAUGAGACAAAAACCCAAUUGAAACCAUUUGGGCCUCCAAGACCUUGUAUGGACGAGCUCACAUCUUUGACCACCCCACCGAAUAACUUAAAUUAAAAAGAUCUUUGGCAGCCCAAUCAUGCAGGCAAUUUACCCCCAGAGUCCAGGAGGAGAAUGGCACCGGUUUGCCGGCCCUAAACCGUACUUAACUGAAAUAUAUAUAUAUAUAUUUGUUUUUGGAAACUAAUUUUAUUGUUAUUAUUUUUUAAAUAUUUGUUAAAAUGUUUUUCUAGCAAAGGCGGGAUAGGAUUUAAGAAAUGAAAAGAGGGGAAGAGGAAUCUAAAUCUAGGACCUCUCACUUCUCAAAAGAGUUUAGAUUAUGGUACUAUAACUUAUGGUGCCAGUGUUUUCAGAUAUGUAAAUAAAAGCAUGCGUAAUAUAGAAUUUAAAAUGGGUAAUUGCAUUGCCAAAAGUCGAAUGACAAUGGGAAUUUAAAAAAAAAAAAAAAAAAGUCCUAUCACACAAGGAAAAAAGAAGGGGAAAAGAAAAACAAAAAGAAGAGCACCAAUGCUAUACUUAUAAGGUGACCAAACACCUACAAAGGCAACCCAAAGAACAGGAGUGAGUUGUCAGAAAUUGCUUUGCAUAUAUACGUGAUGAUGAAUGAAAUGAACUUCAAAAUAUAAGCAAGUCCCUUCUCGUGCAUCAGUAGUAGUUAGCUCUGAAUUUAGAUACACUGUUCAGUUGACUUGACACAAAUAUUGAGGGUGUUUGGAUAUCUAUUAUUUGGAGUAUUAUUUGAUAAAAUAUUAUAGAUAAUGAAAAAAUCUGUCAGAUAACAAAAAAAUAUUUGGACAACUUUGGUGGCAAUUCUUCACUUUCCACGUCCUCAUUGCCAGGUUGGACCACGUGGAUACAUUACUUUAGUCGAUAUGAGGAGGGAUAAAAAAAUUGGCCAGCUUUCUCAUGCAGACGUACUUUAGCUUCAUGCAGCUCAGUGACCCGUAAUUUGCCUUGACGAAUGCCAGGGUUCUAAACACUGGGGCAAAGCGGAACUCGUCCAAGUUUCAUGCAGCUGAGAAGUUAGCCACACAGAGCAACUACUUCCUAAAGGGCCAUCAGGCAACUAAGCCAUUCGUGUAAACCUCCAUUCCUUUUCCUGCGGACCAGUUUGAUGACUCAGACAAUGCAUACAACUAGAAGAGCAUCAGGCAACUAGGAAGUAUCCAUUGACGGAUGUGAUGUUGGAGCUCUUGACAUCUAAGGUUUAUUAUAGAUUUGCCGCAGACCAUAAGAUGAUGUAAACCUGGGAAUAUAAGAGCAGAUGUUGCAAAAAUGCAUGCAGUCGUUAAAUUCUUGGAGCAGGAGGCAAGCAGUUUGAGAGAAAUGAAACAUUCAACACACAAUACAAACUUAUAAUUACAUUACACAAGCUGGAGCUGCCGUCUCUAUCUUUUACUAGCCACCAUUUCCACCUCGAAACUAAUACGGCAGCUUGAACUAAGUACAACAAAACAUACACCUAAAAAAAGGCGGAGGAAUAUAUGUAUCCUCUUCCACAUUGAACCUAUUAAGUUGCACAACUUCCCAUAGAUUCAGGGUGGUGUUUAUUAGUUGGCCAUUGCGAAGUUCCAAUGUCUACUACCUUCGCCUGCGUGAACCGGCAUGCAUUUGAUUAGCCAUUUCUUCUCUCAUUGCAUUCCAAGCUGCUAUCUCAUGUGGGGGCACAGCCAAUGGUUGUAUAUUCGGGUAUGGAUUACCACCAGCUUCGGCUUGUACUUGUAUGUCCUCUUGUUCAUAUUGCAUGAAGUGAUCAUCGGAGGGUUGAGUUUCCCUUAAGAAAUUGUGCAAUGCACAACAUGCAAUAACUACAUUGAUUUGUGUUUGCAUAUAGGAAUAUGGGACAGGUCCCUUCAAAUACGCAAAUUGUUGUUUCAAGACACCAAAAGAGCGCUCAACUACAUUGCGAAGUUGGGAGUAACGGGUAUUAAAUAGCUCCUUUGGUCCUUGCCUCGACCACGUCCUUGCCCAACACGUGAAACACGUCCUCCUUUAAAUGGUGCUAAGAAUCCCGGCAUCAUCUUGUAUGCCGGAUCCACCAGGUAGUACUUGCCUAAACAUAAAAAAUUGUGUGGCUAAGCUUCUGAGUUGGAUAUUGAAAAUGGUGAAACUUUAAGGGAGGCCUAAGAAUUCUCAUAAUUGGGAUGUCCACAAUAAUUCGACUAUUGAGGCUUAAGAAAGAAAUGGAAGUGGAAUACUUUGGAUAUCUAUUUUUGUGGCUGACAAGGAUAGGACACGGGUACGACUCUUUGAAAAAAAAUUACUAUGCUUCACAUAUUUGAGAAUCUGUUUCGCUUGGUAGCAACCCUGUGCAGAAACUCAAAGGUCAACUCUUUCUACAUUGUAAACUUUAAAAACCUGCCACUAGCCAUACGAAACUGAGACAUGUUAUUCCAUUUUAGUUUGAUAUGAGAACAGGCACUACGGUCUGCAGUCUAAAAGGAAGAUGUGACUACUACAAGAAGACGGGUUUGUAUUCCUUAGUCUAUUUGCCAUUCAUUUUUCCUUUCCACCUAUUACUGGAAGCACGUCUAAGAAUUUAUUGAAUGCACAAUAAAAAAUUUGGGAGCAGUUAAGGCAGACCAAGGGAUGCCACUUAUAAGUACUCUAUGGACAGCAACACACGUAGGUCCAUGUUUGUUCGGCCUAACCAGAAAUAAACACAAGCUGUCGAACCUGGGGGUGAACUGGGAAGUCAGUGUGCAUUCGCAGUCACUUUCAAAGACCGCGAGCAUCGUGUGUGCUUCCCUCCCAUCCGGCAUAGACAUACACAAAGCGCAUGUCAUGGUCAAUACAGCUAAAACGUUCUGAGAUUGGGUCCCAUGUCUAUUAGUGUAGGCCAUUUGCUCAUUUGUGGGCACCGAAGCAGGGAUAUGAGUGCCAUCCAUAGCGCCAAUACCUCUACAUUUUGUUCGAGUAAAUCAACUGGCCAUUGACAUGUACUAUUUGCAAAUCGUGAAACCUUCAUUAAAAAAUCAUACAGUGGCUAUUACGAACUUCUAAAGCAGCAGUUUGGCAAAUAUAAGCACCAUAAGCAAGACUUGGUUCGUCUAUUAGUGUGAAAGCAAUAUAUGUAAAUAUUUGCAUUGAAAUAGCCAUCUUUUUCGAAACAAUAAAUGUUUGAGGAGGUAUCCCAACAUUAACCUUAAACAAUGAUAAUACUUGGUACUAUAUCAUAUUCUUGGAUGCACGUCAUUUGUUUCUCUUGGUCGAAUAAUCCUUUGCACAAAUCUACACAGUCCCAACAACACUUCUGCUACAUUUCUGUGGAUAGUUUCAGUAGAGUGUUGAAAUCUCUCUGCCACUACGCAGGUACGCGUGCUAUGGCUCAGCAUGACUAGAGUCAUAGCCAGUGAUUCCUCAAUAGACACAUGCUUGUGCGGAUUUUGCGGGACGUAGUUAUUUUGAACCAGAAUGUCACAAAGUCUCAUGAAAUUGUCAACCGUUAUUCGACAAUUCUCCAAUAUGCGAAGCGGGUGACCAAGGAUUAGCUCUCGCACCCACUUCCAACCAGGCAUAUCUCAGUUCGGCAGGGUACUUUGAUAAGAGGCCCAUCAUAUUGUUGGCUUCAGGUGCAAAAAGCAAAAUUACUGCAACAUUGAGAAUUGCCUCAUCAUCAUUCUCAGAACUGGUGCCAUACGAAGUUGAGAAGUUUGGGAUGAAGUUUGCCAUGUAGGAACUGGACAAAUGUUGCUUACGGUUUCACGAAUGGAAAAGUAGGGAAAAAAUCAAGGACUUACUAGUGGAAGAAAGAUAUACCAAGUUUUGGAAAGCUGGUGAAAGAAAGAUGGUUGGUGGAUGUCUGUUGCAUGGUAGGACUGUAUUCUCACCUGAUUUUAAAGGGCGAGAAUGGACAUGAAUUUGAUAAAAGCUGAUGUUCUCGAAACUAAUUGGGAUGCACAUGGAUCAGAGUUGUCUGUACCUCACUCGUCAAGUUAUUCUCUUACAAGUCCCUUUUUUAAAGAUGUAUAAGGCCCGUGAAUUAAAGUAGCUAUCUAAAAAAGCUCACCUUUUUAUAAGAGUAAACUUCAUAAAGACCUACAAGAAUGGAACUAUUCUUGACAGUGUGCACUUUAAACACUCUGAGAAUAUCUCGUCUGUCCAUGUCAAAAGAUCACACAUAUUGGGUAUGUUGGAGUUAUUCUCUUUAUAUGCACAAGAUUCGGGUUUCACACAUUAUUGUCCUUAGAAGUCCCGUUGCUGUAAUCAUCCAGAUAUAUGUUUAUCUCACAUAAAGGCAAUUUUUUCCAAUUCUUUUUUUAUUGAACCAGAGAGUAUGCUACUCUCGAGUGCUUUGAAAAAUAUGCUAUCUAAUAAAACAAAAACAACACCUAAGCUUUUUCAUAAGGUGGGAAGUGAGCAUAUGCUUCAUCUGCUCAGAAACGUGGGGAGGCAAUAAAAUCAAUUUUUCAGGAUUUGUGUUGUUCUUUCCAUGCCUAUUGGUUUGACGUAUGCAAAUGUCUCAGUUCCAUAAUGGCUGCACCGAAUGUCACCUAUGAGUUAUGUCAACUUGGCAUUGAAGAGCUACUGUAGUACUUUAGUUAGGCUUAAAUAGCAAAGAGUUAGCAUGUAAUACUUGAGUUAGGCGCUACAUUGUAGUACUUUAGUCCAAAAAAUUGAAUUGAAGCAUGUAAUAUGAAAAGCAGUCGACUUUUCUAUUAAGAAAAUGCAGGCAAAUCCUUUAUAAAGAAAUUCCUAUUCAGCUUAAAAUCCAGGUAAUACACAAUCCGAAGAGGUACUCUCCAUUUCAAUCUCCUUCAAUAAUGGUAAGGAGUCUCUUAAUGGCCUGAGCUAGUACUCACAAUUUUGCAAGCAGAAUGGAUACAAGAAUAAACAAGAGGAAGCUUAGGCAAAAUGAAAUUAAAGAAUUCAGACGUAUACAUACUUAUGGUCUAACCAUCUCACAAGAAGAAAAAACAGCAUGCAAUUAUUUACAAAUAAGAAAUUUCUAUGCAACUACUUACCAGUGCUCUUCGAAAAGGAGUCUCCUAGCAACUGACAAAUUGAAUACUCAUACAAAACAGCAUACAAAGAUAGCCCUAAUCUCCGCCAAAUUAACAGCCCUUAAAUUCAUGAAAUUAGCACAUGCAAAUCAAUCCAGGUUCAACAACAUAUAUACCAAGUUUAUGCCACUUUCAAACCAACAUAUUUAACAAACUUGCACAGUUAAACAUUCCAAAGUUUACACCAAAUGACUGCCCGUGGGAGCAUAAACAGCACUUAUCAAAAUACUAAACCAAGCAUUUUGGGUCAUAGCAAACCAAGCAAAAUCUGAUUUUUGACAACCAUGAAUGGCCACAACAUUAAAAAAGAACUUACUAGCCGAUAACGAAAAUUUAUAAAAGUCAUUCAACAAAUAGUAAACAAGAACUACGGGCAGCCAAUAAACACCGAAACUUCACUUCCCCUCCAUCUUCGGGAUGAUAAACAUCUCAAUUCAGGUUAACUGCUCAUCCCUAUUGAAGCUAAGAAACAGAGCUCUAAACUCUUCAUCCAGCAACUCCUUCAACAAGAACAUAUGCAGCCGCUUCUCCAAACCCAAGCUUUUGACAGGUUUUUUGGCAGCAGCUAUGGAAUAUUUCUCUCUGGACUCUUUUUCAUUUGCCGCAAUACAAGAGAAUCUGUUGAAAUUGCUAAGCGCUUCUUGGUAGUUUUCAGAGCCCGAUCGUCGAGACUUCGCACCUCUAGAUCGAUCAUUCUCAUAGCUAUAAGCACCACUAGAAAUUGGACGCUUGCCAGGAUUUCUUGGAACAGGGCUGUCUUCAUCGUCUGAUAAAAGGAAGUGAUGUGGAGGGUCAAUAACAGAGCUUGAAGCCACCCCUUUCCCCUUGAUGUCACUACUGUCCCCCUACGUCUCCUUACUCAAGGAGGCACAUAUUGUGGCGAGAGCUGUGCCAAGGAUUGAGCUCGACUGCCAGUGGCGUGUUUGCCACCCAUAACCGCAUCCCAUUGCAUCACCAAAUUAGCAUUAUUUGGGUGUUGGAACUCCAAAUAGUGCUUGUUUAUCUAUUUGUAUGAAGAAGCUAAGUUAGAUGCACAUUCUAUGUACAGCGGUAGUAGUGCAAAAUGUAUAAGACAGAGUAUGAAUUGAAGUACAAGAAACAAAAAUAAUUCAGGUAUUUCCAAUUCUUCCAACUUUGAAUUCUGUACACAAAAUCAAUAUGAUUACAUUAGAGCAUUUUGUUUUAGUCUCGGACGAAACAAUUAGACAGUAAGCUGUUUCACCCUAGUAGAGACGCACUGUUCUGUAAUACUAUCAGAACUAGAGCAGCAGUAAAAUUCCAAUAGAUAGUAGCCUUUUUCCUACUAUGGCUUUCAAAAGCCUACUUUAAAAAGAGCUAAUGACAGAUAACAUGUGUUCUUCCAUUCUCACUUUUUCAUAAGGAAUUGGCAUAUACGUGACCAAGGUAAUUGAGAAAACUAAUUAUGUAAACGAAAGUCUAUAACUACUGCAGAAUUUCAUGGUUAAGGAAAUACAAUGGAACAUGCAUACAAUGGUCAGAAAUAACCUGGUACAAAUAAACCCACUGAUCAGCUCUAGCUUGGAAGUAUUUAUGCUCGGCAUCCUACCCUAUCCCAGUCUCAGGUUUGGCAGAAUCUCCCCGGAGAUGAGUGAACAACCUCCAUUUCUCCACCAUGCGAUAGUAUUUGGACUGGCAUUGGCUUCCAGUGCAAUCGAGCCCACACUCUUGGGUCAAGUAGUUGGCCAACGCAGUAAAGUUAGCCAACGUGCUACGAGUUGCCUCCCAUUUUCCAUUCUGCUGCCACUCCACGUAGGUGCGGACAUAAAGAUCCUCCUCUCAGGGCAGCCAAUAUUUUUUGUCAGACAUCUAUGGAAAAACCAAUAAACACAUCAGUCUUUUAUAAAUAUGUUGUAUGCACAAUAGCAGAUGAAAUAAAAUGGCAUAGAAAAUGAUAUCUUACGUCAAAGUAGUUUUGUAGGGCCUCGUGAAAGUCGUUAGAGGCACAAGAGGAAUGGGCUAUGACAGAAGAAACUGGGGCUGCGAUGGGAUUCUGUAACACAACCAAUCAACAAUAAGUAAGAAAGGUUCUACAUAUAUUGGAUUAGACUAUUGUGCGAAAUAUAGUGGUACGGCAAGGGGAAAGACUAACGACGCUUGAACUCUGAAUAUAUGAGUUGCUCACAGGCAUAAAAACUUCCUGUAGAUCACACAUACAUCAGCACAUCGUGGGUGGUUAUAGGGAAAAAAUUGACACAAAGCAUGGGUAGCAGGAUGCCCAUAAGUUCAUCAUCAGACGAAAACGAAGUUUAGAAUGCUAUCCAAAUGCAAAUAUGUUAAGAAUGAGGGAGGCCCAUAAAUUACUCACACUGUUGAACCAAUUGACGAACGUCUUCACCAAGUUUUCUAUUUCUAACUGUAAAGCAUAUUUUGUAUUCUAUGCCUAAGUCUAAAAAAUGACUGUUGUAGGCAAAUUGUUUUGACAUCUCAGCGUAACUUUAAAUAGCAAUUCGGAUCAACUAGACCGACGACUUGAAAAAUUGAAGCAUCAGGGUAGAUAAGAAAGUAAUUCCCUUCAAAAAAUUACACAACCGUGAACAUCAAUUAAUGAUUCUUCAACUGUAAUUAAACGCAUAUUUGGGAAGAAUGCUAGUCACGGAACCCUAAUUUAACAUUCAUGCGAUUCAUCAAGUACGCAGCAACUUGACAGAAAUGGGAGAAAUUUUAACAAGGAACUAUCGAAAUCAAACAUGACAAAAUUGACCAACCAAUUAGACAAGUCUUAAAAAAGAAAUUGCCGACCACUGUAUGGCAGCUUAACGGCGUAUUGCAAGGGCAAGGAAAGCAGGGAAUAUAAGAGCACUUAACUCCUUCCUUUCUAAUGCGUUGAACUUGCAAUCGAUCGAUGAAAGGUGAGCCGAAUCACAUACUACCGCGCUCCAAUUGUAGAGGCGCUUCUGUAAUUGCAGAUCGAAACCUUUGCUUCACAGAUUUAUAGAACGACGCGCUAUUCCAACCUCGCACGCGAAGUGAAAUUUGCUAUCACUUCAUGGCAGAGGAAUCAAUUCCGCCGGCGCUUGGUAGCAGUAGACUCAGUUUUCCUGAUAGUUUCCAAAGGCCUUCAUGAUGUAGUCGUUGAAUAGGUUGGAUGAUGAAGUAAUUGCUCAGCGAAAGAGCUGCUCAGCCGAAUAAGUUCUCUGACGAAGGCUUUGAUGGAGCAGCUUUCCCUUUGCUUUACUCAGACGGAAGGUGCAACGGUACAAAAUAUGUAACUGUAAGCAAGUGAAACACAGUAGAAGUGGAGGGCCCCUGUCGGUCAAGACUUGUUAACUCCGAAUCGGUACGCCAAGUAUAUGUCCACGUGGGCCUACACUUCAAGCAUCAACUAGAUUUGGUUUUGACCAUAAUGUCCAUGCUGGAACAUACGAGAUGGAAUGUACAUGUAUAUUAUUCUGGUCUACUCUUUGUUAUCCAAACACCAAUUUGACAUAUUUUUUGGAAUAAGCCAAAAAAUGCCUAUCCAAACAUACUCAUUAUCGUUUGGAUAGGGUAUUAUUUGAAAUAUUAUUUGGAAUAAUUACUAUAGCACUUUUUGUGAUAUGAUGUAUGUGAGAUAAAAAAGUGAUUGAAAAUAUAAAAAGGUGGAUUGGAAAAUAUGUUUAUGAUGCAAGCGAAAUAUUAUUUGAGAUAUUGGAACUAUCCAAACAACUUAAACACUAAACCCGAAUGAGAAAACAUAGAAUAUAAAUGCCAAAUUCAGCUUCGACAUAAACAGAAAACAGAAAAGGAAGUGCCAACCAAACCAACUUCAACUACUCUCAAUUCUAGAAACUAUUUCCCCCAUCCCGAAACCCGUGAAGUUACGUUUGGACUAAGCCUCCAUUGCGGCUUUGGCAAUCUGAACAGCUAUGUAAUUAGGAAAAGUUGCAGGUUGAAGGAAGAUUAAAAUACAAUCGGAUUGCAAAAGUGUGAUAGACUGCGUUACAAUAGAUUCCUGCAACGACUGCAUGCAUCUAUGUUGUGAUAUUGGAGAAUAUACAAAAGUCGAGGGAGUUUUUUGACCAAUGCAAUUUCUCCUUUAUAUAUAGAGAAGAAAAUGAGUUGUGUCAUAGGUUAGCAAAAUUCACUUUAAAACGAUGUAUAUUGGGAAGGGAGAGAGAUAUAGCUUGAGGAGGACAAAACGAAAUGUUCUGGACAUGCGUCAUUACAUAAUAGUCCAUAAUAACCUUCGUUUGGUUCAAAGUACAAGUGAAAAUGAAGGAGGAGGCUACUUCUCCUCAUCAUUCAUCCCACGCACAAAUCUUACUGACAGUACGUUUAGUUGAAACGGAUGGCUUCAUGCACCUAUACUACGACCGAAAUCAUGUUCAUUCUGGAAAUCAAAUCCAGAAUAAGAGAGCGAGUGAAAUCAAAUCCAUUCCGGUAUCAUUCUGGAAAGAGACUAUGUCGCGCAGCUUGUUGAGAAGAAUUUUUGCCGUGCACCUUCCAUUCCCAACUCCCAACUCCACCGCCUUCCACUACCACCAUCCACCACCAUCACCCCAUUAAACUCUUUCUUUUCGUCCUCCCCAACUCCCCACCCCACUUUACUCCUUCCCGUUCCAUCCAAUUCCGAUGGAAAUCCAAACGGCCAACUGAUCAUUUGAAGCGAAAGGAGCUCCGGUUUUUAACUAAACAAUGCCGCUGCAGAGAAGACGGAUGCGGGAAAUCUUUUAAAACUCUCAAACAACUGGAUGAUCAUUAUAAGCUUAAGCACAAGAUUGCAGAGAAACAUUUGAUUCGCUGCACAUGUGGGAGCCGCUUUCACUCAGCCCAAUCACUGUCCGAACACAAGAUGAGUGACUGCCCGGUAAAGGGUUUCAGAGAUUGGAAGCACUAUCGGAAAUAUGCUGCAAGCAACAGACAGAAAAAAUAUGACAGUCCAACAGACAGAGCUGGAUUCUUAAUUGUUCAUUACUUUACAAAAUGAUACUUAAAGUAAUGAUGAAAGGUUAAAUUGACUACAACAGUUAAAUUUUCUUGAAAGUAAACUAAUUUUAUGAAAAACUGAAAUAGAGUAUAGUACAAGCAUUUGUUAUUACCAAAAAGUUUUAGGUGAUUUAAGGAUAGAACUUUUGGGAUAUGUAUUUUUUGGAAAAAAAAAAUAUUUAGAUCUUAAAUUUAGGAUUUGCGAUAGUAAAUGGAUAAAUGGAUGGAUCAUGGUUUACACUAUCCAUUUAAAUGACAUCCAUUUAGAUCCAUUUAUUAAAUAGUUUUAAUUGAAUUGGAUCAAUUUGAUCCAUUAUCUAUUUAACUAAAAUUAUUUAUCAACCAUAUAUCCAUUUUGUCACUUCCUAGUUAUAGUCAUCAAGAAUGCAAACCCGGGACAAAUUGAUUGCUCCUUCACUUGCGGAGACCCCAAGGUACUCUACCAAACCUCUCUCUCUCUCUCUCUCUCUCUCUUCCAAAUUUUAGGCAAAAAUGCAGAACCCAUAAUUAUAAAAUCAGAUCCCGGCAAUCCUGCUACUAUGAUUUGUUGUUAUACAUUUAGACUAGCUAGCUAAGGUGUGUAUGAAUGAUUAUUCUCAGUGUUAAAAACAUAUCAAUCCAUUUUGUUUUAAUUAUUUAUUUAUCUUUGUCAAAAUCCAUUUUGUCUUAGUUUUGUACUAAAAUUAUAAUACUACUAAGUUUCAUCUGUUGUAGGCAAAAACCUUGCACCAGCUUCAUGUGUGAGAGCCGACUGCAAUGGGCAAUGGGCUUUCAGUUGUUGGAUCUCUUUUCAUAUUCACAGGAAACUAGAGGCCCAGAAAACUAGAAGCAAAAUCUAAAGCACUCUUACAUUCAUAUUCAACACUCCAUCAUCCAUCCAUCCAUCCAUCCAUCUCCAUAGGAGGAUCUCUUUUCAGACCACCAGCUGGUUUUGCAAUUAUAAUCUGUAUCGGGAAACCAGUACACAACACAUAAUCACAAUUAUUGUAAAAGAUGACGAAAACUUCUUAACGUUGAAACAUGAGAAGAACCAUUUCCAUCAUUCUGUGGGUGGAUCAAAUGCACAUGUUUUAGACCAAAAUGCAUUGCUGUGGAUUUUGAUGGAAAAUAUUGUUCUUUUUGCUGGUUGUAGCAAUAUCAAAGCAAUUGAAAAUAUUGCAUUGCACCUACUAAAAGUCAGAUGAGAUUUAUGAUCAAAAUUUCCAGCAAAGGCAUCCAUAAUUAUUAACAACAGCAGCACCGUUUAGACCCUCCUUAUGGGACCUUAGUGUCCCGAACUGAGGCAAAAUAACUACAAGAAUCUCCAACUAUACUUAAAUAUUGUGGUUAACCCAAGCCUUCUUUUGAAACUAGUGAUAGGGUAUAGUAUGAGCUUUUUAGCAUGCCCAAGAAAUCCUGUCAUCAUGCAUGACUUCUGAUCCACUUAGGAGAUCUAAGAUCUCCACACUUGGAAAGUCUCUGCAAAUUCACCUAUAUCCUCACUUAGCCCCAGUAAGGGAAACUUCUAGGCAGUGAAUUCAAAAGACAAUCACACAACCCACAAAAUAACUUGAUCAACUGAAAACCUAUACCUAAAACCAUGGCCAUCACCUACGCACCAAUUACCAAGUAAUCCUGCCAAUUAUUGCAUAUCCGCUCCAUAAACUACAUUGAAUUCUCUACCACCAAGUGAAACUCUUUCAUAUUAAAAAAAAAAAGUCAACUAAAUGCAGCAUAAACCACAAAAAUGGGUAAUUCACCACCAGUAUCAUGACAACAACGUUACAAACAAGAAAAGUAAAGAUGCCAAGAAUGUCUUACCCGGUCUACACGCAUGACAGUACAAACAGCAUCAGCAGCAUAUUUGAGAGCAAAAAACCUAUCAAUUGAAUCAAAUCCCUAGUUAAGAACCAUCUGACACUUCAUUAAAUUUGAUAUUUCAGAAUAGCUCGAGUUGCUGAAGAAUAUUCUAGAAUGCAUCAAUCCCAGGGAGAGUAAACUAAAAAGGAUCUCCUUCAUGGGCAGAAAAAAACCCAAGCAAGCAAGCACUUGAGUAUCAGCUCCAGUUUUCACAAGCUCAUGCACAACUGGGCUGCUUGGAUCUUUUGAUUAAUGUUGAGGAUCCAAUGACCAAGAUCGACAGAGCUCAGGAUCUCCAUUGAGCUUUUGUUUACGUUGCUCCACAGAAGCUAGAUUUAGUUAGGUGGUAGCCUUUAAUAUGCAUGACAUAUGCAGGUCACUAGAAAUUGCUAAACAAUCUUCUGAACAACCUUCACCAGCAAGGUUUAAUGCUUAAUCCAAGAAUGACUUUAAAAGUAAAAAUUGCUCUCAAUCUUCAAAAUUGAACCCUCUAUGCUAGAAAAAAAUUGAAUGUGGAUUUCAGCAAUAUAAGAAAAAAGCUUACUUUAUGGUAUAUGGGUCCUAUACACUGGUUGUGGAGACAUCUUUGCAGACGCCUUCCUCCAAACUAGGGGUGAGCAUUCGGUGCAAAUGCGGUAAAUCGGUGCGCUGAAUUCGGUUUUUUCGGUUAUUGCACCUAUAGAAAUCUAAACCGUUUUCAAUUUCGAAUUGGGCAUUACCGAAUUCAUGCGGUACCCGAUUUCAAAUUCGAAAACGGUAAUGAAUUCGGUCUAACCGAAUUCAUCUAUUAUUUAAAAAAAAACCUGCAGCAAAUUAAGAGAAUAUAUAAACCAAUCUUUAUAGUUCAGCAACUACCAACCCCCGCAAGCCAUUAGAUGUUUCUCUUUUACACAUUGCAGAAAAUUCAUAUCCAGAAUCCUAGGUACAACUUCUGGAGCCGUACUUUCACUAGAUGUGCACCAGAGAUUGAGAAUCUCCACGGACAAGGAGGUAAAAUUUUCAUUUUAGCAAGUUUUUUUCUUUAUAAUUUUUCUAACGGGUAAAAGGUGGAAUUUUUCCCCAAGGCCUUAACUUUUAAAGGCUGCACAACUGGAGAGAGCUUCUUGUGUAUAAAAUACAAAGCUUAUGUUAUAUCACACCUAAUCUAAACUACUACAACAGUUAGAGUUUGCAAUUGGAAGCUCAGAUUUCGUCCCCUUAUCAAUUCAGGAUAACAAAUUUCCUAGUCGAUCUUGGCCCAUUUUAAUGCCAGAGACACAGAGCCAAAAACAGAGGAGCACUUACCUAAGUGAGCCAGAGAUGAGCAGUGAUGAACCAGCGAUGAACUAGUGAGAUCUUGGUGCUUCGUCUUCGACACUCGGCAGAGAUGAACCAGCACGGCAGGACACAGCCAACAGGAGACGUAGAGCGCGGCGGACUGGCGGAGGCCGGAGAGGCAGAGAGCAGCUUCGAUUUGGGAAUUGGGACUUGGGACUUGGGAGUGUUAGUGCUGUGAAAGCCGUAGGUGACGGCAGUCACGGCACUAUGCAAUAUUGCAAAUUUGCAAUGGUUGUUUUCUCACUUUUCAA
rnacentral:lncRNA from 1 species